CUCACCUGGGCUUUACUUCCUGCACCGAGACACACCUGAGAGAGGCCAGCAUUUAUUUGGUGUUUGAUUUGGCUGAUACCAGACAGACAGACAGGUGGUGAUGGAUCAGGUCUCCAGCCUUGAUAAGCACUAAUUAGCGCCGGCAGCUAGAUGAGGACAUUUGCUGUCCAAGAGGGUGUGCGUGUGCUCCAAGGAGCCAGGAAAGGACAGAGGAUAAUAAAGUCAUGGCCCUGAAGCCCAGCGCAGACCUUGUCAGUGCUACAGGACAUAUACAUAAUGAGGAUUGCUUAAAAAGAGGAAUGACACCCAAUUUCAAACAUCAUGUAUUAUUCCUGAGGCUGAGACAUCGGUCAGGCAAUACUUGUGUAAUUGUGUUUCCUAUAACCUGAAGCGAAAGAGCUAGCCAUUAAUUUUUUAUGUCAGGGGUGUAAGAAGGCUCUGCUGUGUGUAAAAAUGAAACGCUCACUUUUCUGUCCCAUAUAAUGUGAUGUGUGUCAGUUCAUGCAACCGAAUUGUUUAUAUUUUUGUUCAUACCUGUUAGCAAUGCUCUUGGCCUCAUUCAUAAAUGCUAAUUUUACAGCCCAAAUAUUUCAUUCUUAUAAUAAGCACCUUUGAUGUUGAGUAAGAAAAACGUAUGUCAAAGGACUUUUAGACCAUUUAUUGUAACAGAUAUGUGCACUUUUAUUUGUGGAGGUGGUUUUGCAUGCAAUGGGUCCUCAAAUGAAUUGUAGAAGUAUAAUAAAUCAUAAAAAACAAACCCUGAAGUAAUACACAGCACUACAGAACAGAACCCAGUAGAGACAUACUGUAUCACCCAGAUAUGGGACAUACAUAAUGCAAAAAUAAAGAAAUGCAAUAACAAGAACUGUUAGUAAUAACAAACUAGGUCAGAAAAGGGCUGGAUGAUGCAGGAAUGAAUCAGCCAAUCAGUGAAAAUAGUGUUGAACUCCUUCCCAGAACAAAGUCAAAGGAAGUUGUUUUACUAAUUGUAGUGAUGCAGAUUUGUCCUUUUGGCGAAGAGUAGGUCUCCUGUAAAUGAUAAAUCAUAAAUUGCAGUGUACUGAUGUCAUCACUUUGGUACGAAGUAGAGCACAAGCUUUGAUUUUAAUUUCACAAUUUAGCUUUUGCUGCUUUUCAUACUUGCCCUAUUUGCCUUUCGAAGAGCAAAGAUUAGAUGAAAGUUGUAAAUUAUUUGUCAACCAGAGCGGUUGGAUGUGAAUAAGAUGUAGGUCUGAUUCUGUGAUGUCGUCAUGGGUCAAAACCUUUCUCAUCAUUUUACACAAGAUGAUAACACUCCUUGAAACAGGAGGUUAGCUGAGGCUAGCUUUCUGACUUCUGUCAGAUUUCUGAAGCUGUCAGGAUUAACACAUCAAUCUCAGUUUCACAGGAUAGAUUUAAAAGCUGAUGCCACUCAUUUUGAAAUCUAUAUAUUUAUUUCCUUUGAGGUUUUUACAGUUGUAAAAGAAUGUUAGCAUUGCUUUCAAUGUAUUGACUGGGGAUUGUGGUCAAUAUACUGUGGAACUGUGAUGAUGGUAAUAUGUUUUAUUUUCUUUUAUUUAUGUAUUUAGC